rnacentral:rRNA from 1 species
ACACAUGCAAGUCGAACGGUAACAGGAAGAAGCUUGCUUUUUUGCUGACGAGUGGCGGACGGGUGAGUAAUGUCUGGGAAACUGCCUGAUGGAGGGGGAUAACUACUGGAAACGGUAGCUAAUACCGCAUAACGUCGCAAGACCAAAGAGGGGGACCUUCGGGCCUCUUGCCAUCGGAUGUGCCCAGAUGGGAUUAGCUUGUUGGUGGGGUAACGGCUCACCAAGGCGACGAUCCCUAGCUGGUCUGAGAGGAUGACCAGCCACACUGGAACUGAGACACGGUCCAGACUCCUACGGGAGGCAGCAGUGGGGAAUAUUGCACAAUGGGCGCAAGCCUGAUGCAGCCAUGCCGCGUGUAUGAAGAAGGCCUUCGGGUUGUAAAGUACUUUCAGCGGGGAGGAAGGGAGUAAAGUUAAUACCUUGCUCAUGACGUACCCGCAGAAGA